rnacentral:rRNA from 1 species
GAUAGCGUGCCUUUUGUAGAAUGAACCGGCGAGUUACGAUUUGUUGCAAGGUUAAGCGGAAAAAGCGGAGCCGUAGCGAAAGCGAGUCUGAAUAGGGCGCAUAAGUAACAGGUCGUAGACCCGAAACCAGGUGAUCUACCCAUGUCCAGGAUGAAGGUAAGGUAAUACUUACUGGAGGUCCGAACCCACGCACGUUGAAAAGUGCGGGGAUGAGGUGUGGGUAGCGGAGAAAUUCCAAUCGAACUUGGAGAUAGCUGGUUCUCUCCGAAAUAGCUUUAGGGCUAGCCUCGAGGUAAAGAGUCAUGGAGGUAGAGCACUGUUUGGACUAGGGGCCCUUCUCGGGUUACCGAAUUCAGAUAAACUCCGAAUGCCAUGUACUUAUACUCGGGAGUCAGACUGCGAGUGAUAAGAUCCGUAGUCGAAAGGGAAACAGCCCAGACCACCAGUUAAGGUCCCCAAAUAUAUGUUAAGUGGAAAAGGAUGUGGGGUUGCUUAGACAACCAGGAUGUUGGCUUAGAAGCAGCCACCAUUGAAAGAGUGCGUAAUAGCUCACUGGUCGAGUGACCCCGCGCCGAAAAUGUACCGGGGCUAAACAUAUUACCGAAACUGUGGAUGAACCUCUUUAGAGGUUCGUGGUAGGAGAGCGUUCUAAGGGCGGUGAAGUCAGACCGGAAGGACUGGUGGAGCGCUUAGAAGUGAGAAUGCCGGUAUGAGUAGCGAAAGAAGGGUGAGAAUCCCUUCCACCGAAUAUCUAAGGUUUCCUGAGGAAGGCUCGUCCGCUCAGGGUUAGUCGGGACCUAAGCCGAGGCCGAUAGGCGUAGGCGAUGGACAACAGGUAGAGAUUCCUGUACCAGUGCUAAUUGUUUAACCGAUGGGGUGACACAGAAGGAUAGGGAAUCGCACGAAUGGAAAUGUGCGUCCAAGCAGUGAGUGUGAGAAGUAGGCAAAUCCGCUUCUCGCGAAGCAUGAGCUGUGAUGGGGAAGGAAAUUAAGUACGGAAGUUCCUGAUUUCACGCUGUCAAGAAAAGCCUCUAGGAAGAGUAGUACUGCCCGUACCGCAAACCGACACAGGUAGAUGAGGAGAGAAUCCUAAGGUGAGCGAGAGAACUCUCGUUAAGGAACUCGGCAAAAUGACCCCGUAACUUCGGGAGAAGGGGUGCUCUAUUAGGGUGCAAGCCCGAGAGAGCCGCAGUGAAUAGGCCCAGGCGACUGUUUAGCAAAAACACAGGUCUCUGCAAAACCGUAAGGUGACGUAUAGGGGCUGACGCCUGCCCGGUGCUGGAAGGUUAAGAGGAGUGCUUAGCUUCGGCGAAGGUACGAAUUGAAGCCCCAGUAAACGGCGGCCGUAACUAUAACGGUCCUAAGGUAGCGAAAUUCCUUGUCGGGUAAGUUCCGACCCGCACGAAAGGCGCAACGAUCUGGGCACUGUCUCAACGAGAGACUCGGUGAAAUUAUAGUACCUGUGAAGAUGCAGGUUACCCGCGACAGGACGGAAAGACCCCGUGGAGCUUUACUGCAACCUGAUAUGGAAUGUUUGUACCGCUUGUACAGGAUAGGUAGGAGCCGAAGAGACGUGUGCGCUAGCAUACGAGGAGGCAAUGGUGGGAUACUACCCUGGCUGUAUGACCAUUCUAACCCGCCACGCUUAGCGCGUGGGGAGACAGUGUCAGGUGGGCAGUUUGACUGGGGCGGUCGCCUCCUAAAGAGUAACGGAGGCGCCCAAAGGUUCCCUCAGAAUGGAUGGAAAUCAUUCGCAGAGUGUAAAGGCACAAGGGAGCUUGACUGCGAGACUGACAAGUCGAGCAGGGACGAAAGUCGGGCUUAGUGAUCCGGUGGUUCCGCAUGGAAGGGCCAUCGCUCAACGGAUAAAAGCUACCCCGGGGAUAACAGGCUUAUCUCCCCCAAGAGUCCACAUCGACGGGGAGGUUUGGCACCUCGAUGUCGGCUCGUCGCAUCCUGGGGCUGUAGUCGGUCCCAAGGGUUGGGCUGUUCGCCCAUUAAAGCGGCACGCGAGCUGGGUUCAGAACGUCGUGAGACAGUUCGGUCCCUAUCCGUCGCGGGCGCAGGAAAUUUGAGAGGAGCUGUCCUUAGUACGAGAGGACCGGGAUGGACACACCGCUGGUGUACCAGUUGUUCCGCCAGGAGCAUCGCUGGGUAGCUAUGUGUGGCAGGGAUAAACGCUGAAAGCAUCUAAGCGUGAAGCCCCCCUCAAGAUGAGAUUUCCCAUUUCUUCGGAAAGUAAGAUCCCUGAAAGAUGAUCAGGUAGAUAGGUUUGGAGUGGAAGUGUAGCGAUACAUGGAGCGGACAAAUACUAAUCGAUCGAGGACUUAACCAAAA